GCAACUGUAAGUAGCCUUACUUAACGAGGGAGGGGAGAAAUCACCAAAAUAGAAGAGGAAAGAAAAUGUCCUCUGAAUUCUGUAAAUUAGCAGAAAUAAUCUAACUGUCAUAAAAAAUAACAAACCAUCUAGCAAAAGAAGGGCAAGGGAGAGAGAAAACUGAAUCCGACUGUUUCCAGGCCACCCUUCAAAGUCAGCUACGAGAGCCAGGUCCAUUCUUUCAGAAUAGUGCACUAGAGUGGCAUCCUGCCUUAACGUUCGAGAUGAGCAAGAGCCAUCAAUUCCUAGAGAUUGCCAAAAAGUAUCGCCCCGAGAGUCUAUUGGUUUGCUAGACAUGGUAAACAACUCACUCCUGGAAAGACUUCGGCAAAGGCCACAUUGGUGUCAGGAGACACGGUUAGUGAAUUAGGAUGAUGUCCUGCAGAUGCAGGCAGGAUGAGGAAGCUUUCGUUUGGGAGUAACAUUUACAAGUGGGUGGGUGUUUGCAUGCACACUGGGUUGCAUAGAGGAAAGGAAUGGAGCAUGGAGAACACCGGCCAAGAUUUGUACUGGCCUUGCCUGCCUGGCCUGGGUGCCCACUUCACCCAGGAGACCUGGUGAGGUGACCCAGAUUGCUGCUCUCCCUGGUCUGCUCCCCAGUUGAAUACGUCUGCUCUGCCUUCUUCUGGAGGAAGACAGCCUGUCACUGUGGGUUUGCUGUGGGUCCAACAAGCUGCUUUUGUUUCUCCCAACUCUGAAACGCCACAAAAAGCAACAGAGUGGGCAGGUGACUGCUUCCCGGGAAGGGAGCCACAAGUCUUGAGCACGAUGGUGGGAAGAGACAACUGUAUCUCUGCACCAGGACCUAUGUGUGUGUGUGCUUUGUUUGAGAAGCACACACACUCCCAGACUACAAGUGUCCACGCACAGACACACGUCAGUAAAUCCAAUUGAAGUGCAGAGUUUAAGUGCCCUCUACUACACACAAGCAUAUUCAAGUUUCUCAUGAAAGGGAUACAUAGAGAUUAUUGAUGGUCGGGCUCCUUCAGAAUGCCCUACGGCCUCCUCACAGAUAGCAGAUGGCAGUGAUGCACCCAACUAAGGCAACAGAGCAGGAGCAGAUAUGUGAGUUACGGGAGACCUUUGACUGACCAGAAAUCCCGGCAUCUAUCUUUUUGUCACUGGGGAAGAUGAACGUGGAACAGUUUUGUACCGAGAGCACCUCACACUGCGCGGGUAUAUGCCUAAUGUAUACUCAUUUACAGACAUUUUGGACAGCAGCUAUGACAUAUUAGAUGGGUUAAGUCCCUUUCAUUACUAGAAUCUACAUACAAAUUGUAAUGGUUUUGCUGGGCAAUAAGAAACUUCUGGUGCAACAGGAAUAGAAACAGAUGUCUCCUAUGGGGUUAAUUUUUCUUUUUUUUUUCUAUCUUGGUUGUAUCAGAAUCUCAUUGAGGCAUUUUGAAUCAAAAAAACCUCUGAAUUUGAAAGAGGGCUAGUAGGGACUUUUUACACCCUAAUUAUCUCAAAAGUUAGGACUCCCAUAACUGUAGCUAGAUUUUCCCUGUGAUCUGCAGAUUAUGCUGCUUCUUUGAAGACUCGAAAGUUGUGAGUUUGCAUUUAAACAAAGAACCAUCAGAUAAGCCAGAUGCUGUCUAAAACUGAGAAAAAAACAGUUGAGAUAUACACUGUAUAGGGAAAGAAAGCUUUUUGUUGAGAUUGUCCUCCCUGCCAAGGAAACGUUUAGAACUGGCAUCCAGGCGCCUGUGAUCAUGUCUUAUGGGAUUCGCUACUUAGCUAAUAUGAUGUCUGUUUUACACUCAGCCCAGAUCUACAUCACUGAAAUAGAAUAGACAGGAAAUAGCAGCCACUUCCUGACAGCAGCCAGUUCCGGGUACGUUUGGCACCUCCCCCAAAAGUCACUGUUUCCAUAAUCCUCAGUCAUGAAUAGUCAUUUUUGUGAUAAUGCAACCAUUAAAAAGCAAAAACUGUUCAUGUCUUCACACCCUUCCAAUUUCUAUAUCUCUGUCCUCUUCCCUGGGCUCUCUGAUUUAAGGCAAUAAUUCUUUAUUCUAAGUGCCUUCUUGUGAAAAGAUCUGAGGUCGCUUCAGAUUAGUUUUUAGUCUGAAAGUGUUUAGUUUAUGAAGCAACAGGCUAGGCCUGAAGAAACCACUGCCAUCCAGGUGUCUCAGUCAGUCAGUGGUGCAGAAAGACAAGGCUUCUUGUGUCAACCCAGGGCAAUUUUAGCCCUCGUUCAGUGAAACAGAGUUCUGAAAAAGAACCCAUGCUCCGCAGUCCUCAUCUUCUACCUCUUCAUCCUAAAAAAAUCAAAUUAAACCCUAGUGUUCCACGUCAUUUUCUGGGAUCUGUUAAUGCACACCGCUGACUGCUAUGGAUUCAGUGUUCAAGGAAGAAAAAAUAUUCAGAAAUUUAGAAAAACCUUUAGGGUAUUUUAGUCAGGCUGAUCAUCUUCAGACCUAGUGCUAGAAAUGAUGCUUUGGGUUCGUAAUUUCCACAUUCUGUGUUUACUGGAACACUGAGUCACCACAGCUUUUCCUCUUGCGGAGGUUUAAGCAGUAUCAGAAAUGGCAACUCUACAGAGAGCCCUUGGGAAUGUGAAAAUAUUCUCUCUCUAGAACAAGGGCUCUUCUGCCUCCAUAUGCAGCCUGAGCACCAGGGCAGAGAUUGCUUUUGAAAGUUUGCCCCAUGUAAUUAAUUUCCUGGGCACCCAAGAGAACAGCUCUUUUCUUCAUGAAAACACAUAGAGGAGAAAGAGGCUGAGUCCCAACCGAGAAGUUCUGUCCAGCCCCAGAAAGCCCCGGGGUUCAGCUCAAGCACUCUCUUCAUGCAACGCAGAUGGAGAGGCAUUGGGUUGCCUUGCUUUUUCUAUGGAAUUAGGGAGUCUAUUGAAAUUCCAGUGCGCCCUUCCUUUUGUUUGUCACCAAGUCACAUGGUUCUGUCUUUAGUGUCCUAUUUUUCUUUUCUUUUUUUAAUUUCUUUUUCUGGGGGACAAAAUUGGCCAUUUAAAUAAAGUUCUUUUCUAGUGAGUAAAGAGGUUUCUCAGAGCCAGAAAUCAUUCAAAAGAAAGUCUGUCGAUCCUACCCAUGGAAAAGCCCAGAGAUUUCGCUAAAUACCCCUUGCCAAACUUCCUAGUUUUGCGAUUGGAUGUUUUUUGGUUUCGCAUUCUUGGGUGCUGAAUGUAUUUUGUGAUCCUUUUGUUCUCUUCUCCACGGCUUCCAUGACCCUGGACUUCAACUCAUUACUAAAAGAAUUCUUUCAGAAGAUUUCAUUUAAGAGUCAGGUCACAACAGAAAGGGCACCCUCUCCUUCUGCUAAGUCCUGAGGGCAUCUCGGGUUGUGUCUGCUCUUACACCACACCUUCGUCUUGUUUCUUUGUGCGGCGGCAGCACACCAGCUACAGCAGAGGCAGACCUGAUUUGGUUACAUGUUUGCUGCAGAAUCACAACUAAUUAAAUAACAUCUAUAACCACCGAGGAAGGCUCCAGAACGGGCAUCUCUAGUGUGAAUCUUGGCCAAUCUACCUCAUUGCCCGCUUUCCUAAGGGCAACAGGUGUUGGGAGCAUGAUGGAGGAGUCAAAACGAGGAAGAAGCCUGGACCUUUAUUAUGUUCUCUCUGGGAUCAGAGGGAUUAAAAUCUUCAGGGGCACACCUCAUUUUCAAUUUCUGUGCUGAAGGAAAACACUGAUUUGGGGCAUGGGCUGGGCACAUACUGCUGGAGUGCUUGUAGGAUGGAAGUCCGUAUGGGUCAAGGCAUUAGGACUUAACGAGAAACAAACACACCCAGAGAAAAAUCUUUUCUCUUUUCACACCAGAAUGUACAAAUUCUAAAUGUUCAUGGAUUGAAAAGGGUUUUCUUGGUCCUUACAGAAUAUUGGGAUGAUACAAAAUAAAACCCCUAAGACUUUUAAACAAAGCAAAUCCAAGUCUUUCUUUCUAAGGCCAGGAAGUAUGGUGACCUCCAAGAUGCCUAGGAAGAGGGAAUGGACCGCAGCUGGAAGCUGAGUAGGAACUUAUCCGCCGCACUUACUCAUGGCACAACAGGUUCAGAGCCUUAGGAACAUGGAGAGGCAAAGGUCCAUAAAACUGUUAUUAGGAGCUAAAGUUUACAACUCAAUUAAAAUAUAUAGUAAAAACCAUUUUGCUAUAGAGACUUUCAUUUCAGAUUUCUUUUUUCCUGGCUUGUUUCUUAAUCUUUUCCCAUGUGUAGAUUUGUAUCAGAUCCAUGUGUUCCAAGUCCUUGCUUUUUUAGGGCUAUAUUUUACACAUUUAGGGUUUUUUUGGGUACAAAUACUGGCAUUCAUUAUAUUAAUAGGGGGGAAAAUUGCCCACUCUGCAAUAUACUACCAAUGUUUUUAGUGCUAGGAAAUUUUAUUCUUCAGAAAUCGUAUCUAAGUGUUUUGAGAUAAAUAUCCCCCUUUGACUUGUUCCUUUCCCUUGUUCAGCUAAUCCAGUUUUACAUCAUAAAUUGCUGAAGAAAAAUGUUCUUUUCCAUACCAGUUCCUGUUCCCUGUACUCAUCCUAAAAGGUCUUAAAUCUGGAACACUGGCUUCCAUUUUAUCUAUCCUUUUCCUCCCUGGCUACUGAAAAAAACUUUUGUUAGUACUCAUAGCAUCCUAGCAUGAAGUUUUAAAUGUAAGAAGAUUGUUGGAUUUGAAACCAAAAAAUAAAAGGAUCUGUGCUCAUCCUCUAUUCUUAAAGCAAAAUAUGUUUGCCUACUUCCCAAGAUGUUGGUGAAUAUUUAAUUUAAAAGUAAGGAUUGACAAUUUAAAAGCAUAUCUACCCACUUAAAAUAGGUACAGACUGGUUUCUUUUCUAAAACGUAGGGCAUUUUGGAAAGCAAUCCUUUCAGAGACCAGACCAUAUAGUAAUGGCCCUGCAGCAAGUUCAUCACUCCCCAGAUUAGGUCUUCACUCCAAUUCAGCUUCUUCCCUCUCUCCAGAGAACCAUCUGUCAACUACUUUAGACUAUGAGAUGUUUGGGAGGAAUAGACAUACAGUAAGAAAAAGUCUAGGCUACACAAAGCUGGAUAGUCCAUGUUGUUGUAAUGAUUAUAUCACCUCACCAAGAAUUCUUUGGGAAUCCUCCAACAUUUUCAAAAAAGAGAUACUUCAUUUGAAGGGAAAAGAUAAAUAGGAUUUCAAACCAAAGUGGAAUUUUUACCCUUACGUGUUCUAUAACAAAAUGUGGAUUUGAACCCAAUUGCUUAACUUUUUAUGUGGCAAAUCAGCAUUAAGGCAAAUGAGUCUCCCUCAGAUUUGAGAAGCAGAUAGCUAAAUGUGGCCCAUAACGGAACCCAAGAACAACUUUUCUGGAGGUACUAUAAAUUCUAUCUACUUUGGUAAGGUUUCAAUAAGGACACUAUUUUAAAAUAGCCACUGUCAAAUAAUUUAAAAUAUUUUAAAGGGGCUUUUGGCCUUCUUACGUUUGUAACAUAUGCUGAGUGAUUUCAUGUCAUUUUCCUCUAGAUUAAAAAAACUUUUUUCUUAAUGUCAAUUUUUUCUUUUUUAUAGCAUGGGUUGAAUGACUUCAAAAUAUCAAAACAAUUCCAUGACAUGGUUAAUUAACUGAUGCUCCCUCUGUUGGUGGUCAAUUUUGGACACAUAGUUCUUGACAGGGCUCUCUUCUUAGAAAACACGAUGGGCAAUACUCAAUAGGCAGUUAACCAUCCAAGUCUACAUUAAAACUUCUAGCAAAAUAUUUACUGAAUUAAGGACCAUGGGACUGAAUCGAACUCACACACAUUCCAGUUGCACUAACCCUACUGAACAUCACCAAGAACUUAAGGAAAAUACUCAAGUGAACCAGUCUAAAAG
rnacentral:lncRNA from 1 species